rnacentral:rRNA from 1 species
CCUACGGGAGACAGCAGUGAGGAAUAGUGGUCAAUGGGCGCGAGCCUGAACCAGCCAAGUAGCGUGAAGGAUGACUGCCCGACGGGUUGUAAACUUCUUUUAUAAAGGAAUAAAGUGAGGCACGUGUGCCUUUUUGUAUGUACUUUAUGAAUAAGGAUCGGCUAACUCCGUGCCAGCAGCCGCGGUAAUACGGAGGAUCCGAGCGUUAUCCGGAUUUAUUGGGUUUAAAGGGAGCGUAGAUGGGUUGUUAAGUCAGUUGUGAAAGUUUGCGGCUCAACCGUAAAAUUGCAAUUGAUACUGGCAGUCUUGCGUACAGUUGCGGUAGGCUGCAUUCUUGUUGUAGCGGUGAACUUCUUAGCUCUCAC